rnacentral:rRNA from 1 species
GACGAACGCUGGCGGCGUGCUUAACACAUGCAAGUCGAACGGAAAGGCCCUGCUUUUGUGGGGUGCUCGAGUGGCGAACGGGUGAGUAACACGUGAGUAACCUGCCCUUGACUUUGGGAUAACUUCAGGAAACUGGGGCUAAUACCGGAUAGGAGCUCCUGCCGCAUGGUGGGGGUUGGAAAGUUUCGGCGGUUGGGGAUGGUCUCGCGGCUUAUCAGCUUGUUGGUGGGGUAGUGGCUUACCAAGGCUUUGACGGGUAGCCGGCCUGAGAGGGUGACCGGCCACAUUGGGACUGAGAUACGGCCCAGACUCCUACGGGAGGCAGCAGUGGGGAAUAUUGCACAAUGGGCGGAAGCCUGAUGCAGCAACGCCGCGUGCGGGAUGACGGCCUUCGGGUUGUAAACCGCUUUCGCCUGUGACGAAGCGUGAGUGACGGUAAUGGGUAAAGAAGCACCGGCUAACUACGUG